rnacentral:lncRNA from 1 species
AAAUGUCUAAUGGUUAUUUGAGAAGAGAUCCAUACUGUGAUUCUUAUAUGAUGAGUAAUUCGAGACGAAACAAAGCAAGCUUCAAGUUUGAAGCCUAUCAAGGUGAUGAGUGAGAAAACACAAGUCAUUCUUCGUAUGCAUCAAAGUACUCAUCUAUGGAAAGUCAGUCACGAAGAGGUGAUCGUGUUUCAAAUGUAACUCCAUCCAUUUCUACCCAACGAAAGUCUACUCUUUCUGAAUCUUUUAUGUUAACUUCUUCCUAUGACGAAAGGAAGCGAGAAA